GAUGAACGCUGGCGGCGUGCCUAAUACAUGCAAGUCGAGCGAACAGACGAGGAGCUUGCUCCUCUGACGUUAGCGGCGGACGGGUGAGUAACACGUGGAUAACCUACCUAUAAGACUGGGAUAACUUCGGGAAACCGGAGCUAAUACCGGAUAAUAUAUUGAACCGCAUGGUUCAAUAGUGAAUGACGGCUUUGCUGUCACUUAUAGAUGGAUCCGCGCCGCAUUAGCUAGUUGGUAAGGUAACGGCUUACCAAGGCGACGAUGCGUAGCCGACCUGAGAGGGUGAUCGGCCACACUGGAACUGAGACACGGUCCAGACUCCUACGGGAGGCAGCAGUAGGGAAUCUUCCGCAAUGGGCGAAAGCCUGACGGAGCAACGCCGCGUGAGUGAUGAAGGUCUUCGGAUCGUAAAACUCUGUUAUUAGGGAAGAACAAAUGUGUAAGUAACUAUGCACGUCUUGACGGUACCUAAUCAGAAAGCAACGGCUAACUACGUG
rnacentral:rRNA from 1 species